rnacentral:rRNA from 1 species
CGGAGGCAGCAGUGAGGAAUAUUGGGCAAUGGGCGAAAGCCUGACCCAGCGACGCCGUGUGGGUGAUGAAGGCCUUCGGGUAGUAAAGCCCUGUUGGGUGGAAAGAAGGGCUUUUGGACGAAUAAUCCAGAAGUCUUGACGGUACCACCAGAGGAAGCACCGGCUAACUCCGUGCCAGCAGCCGCGGUAAUACGGAGGGCGCAAGCGUUGUUCGGAAUUACUGGGCGUAAAGGGCGCGUAGGUGGUUGUGUAAGUCAGAUGUGAAAUCCCGAGGCUCAACUUCGGAACUGCAUCUGAUACUGCAUGACUCGAGUGCAGCAGAGGGAAACGGAAUUCCUGCUGUAGAGGUGAAAUUCGUAGAUAUCAGAAGGAACACCGGUGGCGAAGGCGGUUUCCUGGGCUGACACUGACACUGAGGCGCGAAAGCGUGGGUAGCAAACAGGAUUAGAUACCCUUGUAGUCGU